AGAGUUUGAUCCUGGCUCAGAACGAACGCUGGCGGCAGGCUUAACACAUGCAAGUCGAACGCCCCGCAAGGGGAGUGGCAGACGGGUGAGUAACGCGUGGGAACAUACCCCUCGGUUCGGAAUAACUCAGGGAAACUUGAGCUAAUACCGAAUACGGUCGAGAGGCGAAAGAUUUAUCGCCGAGGGAUUGGCCCGCGUCCGAUUAGCUAGUUGGUGAGGUAAUGGCUCACAAAGGCGACGAUCGGUAGCUGGUCUGAGAGGAUGAUCAGCCACAUUGGGACUGAGACACGGCCCAAACUCCUACGGGAGGCAGCAGUGGGGAAUAUUGGACAAUGGGCGAAAGCCUGAUCCAGCCAUGCCGCGUGAGUGAUGACGGCCUUAGGGUUGUAAAGCUCUUUCGUCAGGGACGAUAAUGACGGUACCUGAAGAAGAAGCCCCGG
rnacentral:rRNA from 1 species